rnacentral:rRNA from 11 species
UGGUGGGUAGUUUGACUGGGGCGGUCUCCUCCUAAAGAGUAACGGAGGAGCACGAAGGUUGGCUAAUCCUGGUCGGACAUCAGGAGGUUAGUGCAAUGGCAUAAGCCAGCUUGACUGCGAGCGUGACGGCGCGAGCAGGUGCGAAAGCAGGUCAUAGUGAUCCGGUGGUUCUGAAUGGAAGGGCCAUCGCUCAACGGAUAAAAGGUACUCCGGGGAUAACAGGCUGAUACCGCCCAAGAGUUCAUAUCGACGGCGGUGUUUGGCACCUCGAUGUCGGCUCAUCACAUCCUGGGGCUGAAGUAGGUCCCAAGGGUAUGGCUGUUCGCCAUUUAAAGUGGUACGCGAGCUGGGUUUAGAACGUCGUGAGACAGUUCGGUCCCUAUCUGCCGUGGGCGCUGGAGAACUGAGGGGGGCUGCUCCUAGUACGAGAGGACCGGAGUGGACGCAUCACUGGUGUUCGGGUUGUCAUGCCAAUGGCACUGCCCGGUAGCUAAAUGCGGAAGAGAUAAGUGCUGAAAGCAUCUAAGCACGAAACUUGCCCCGAGAUGAGUUCUCCCUGACUCCUUGAGAGUCCUGAAGGAACGUUGAAGACGACGACGUUGAUAGGCCGGGUGUGUAAGCGCAGCGAUGCGUUGAGCUAACCGGUACUAAUGAACCGUGAGG